AGAGUUUGAUCCUGGCUCAGAUUGAACGCUGGCGGAAAGCGGGGACACAUGCAAGUCGAGCGGCAGCGCGGGGCAACCUGGCGGCGAGCGGCGAACGGGUGAGUAAUGCAUCGGAACAUGUCCAAGUCGUGGGGGAUAGCCCGGCGAAAGCCGGAUUAAUACCGCAUGUGCCUGAGAGGGGAAAGUGGGGGACCGCAAGGCCUCACGCGAUUGGGUUGGCCGAUGUCCGAUUAGCUAGUUGGCGGGGUAAGAGCCCACCAAGGCGAUGAUCGGUAGCUGGUCUGAGAGGAUGAUCAGCCACACUGGGACUGAGACACGGCCCAGACUCCUACGGGAGGCAGCAGUGGGGAAUUUUGGACAAUGGGGGCAACCCUGAUCCAGCCAUUCCGCGUGAGUGAAGAAGGCCUUCGGGUUGUAAAGCUCUUUUGUCCGGAACGAAACGGGUGCGGCUAAUACUCGCGCCUACUGACGGUACCGGAAGAAUAAGCACCGGCUAACUACGUGCCAGCAGCCGCGGUAAUACGUAGGGUGCGAGCGUUAAUCGGAAUUACUGGGCGUAAAGCGUGCGCAGGCGGUUUUGUAAGCCAGAUGUGAAAUCCCCGGGCUUAACCUGGGAAUGGCAUUUGGGACUGCAAGGCUUGAGUGCGGCAGAGGAGACUGGAAUUCCUGGUGUAGCAGUGAAAUGCGUAGAUAUCACGAGGAAUA
rnacentral:rRNA from 1 species